rnacentral:rRNA from 1 species
UACAGAGGCCCCAAGCGUUACUGAGAAUCACUGGGUUUAAAGGGUGCGUAGGUGGCGCGUUAAGUCCGUUGUGAAAGCCCUGGGCUCAACCCAGGAACUGCUUCGGAUACUGGCGCGCUUGAGGCUAGUAGGGGUCACUGGAACUGACGGUGGAGCGGUGAAAUGACGUAGAUAUCGUCAGGAACGCCAAUGGUGAAGACAGGUGACUGGGCUAGUUCUGACACUGAGGCACGAAAGCGUGGGAGCGAACGGG